AAUGAACUGCACUCGUUCGUAGGAACUAUACAUAAGUGAGGCGAUCGGUUCCCCCCUGCUUCCAUCUGCUGUGUUGCCUUCAUAUGCAGUCACACUUGCUGAAGAAAGUUUCCACAACGUAGCCGGGAUUUCGUUUUCGAUUAUCUUGGCCAGACCGGUACCGGUGUUCAAUUCAGAUUCUAUAACUGCUUUAUAUGAAGGUAACGAGAAAUCAGCCCGAGCACUUGAAGUUUACUUGUUAUCAAGAGA